AUGAACGGGUCGAUAUUCCCGUACCGGCAUGCAACCGACAAAACCGAAUCCGCGAGUACUAACCUCCGGGUCCGGGCUUACGUCUCCUUCGGGAGCCGGAUGCCCUGGCCUGUUGGGACCGUAACGGUAGUAGGUCAGCGCGGGAGUGACGCAGAAGGGUAGCCGGCCGCGGAGGUGGUCUUCCGUGGUCAAGCACGCAGCCCGUCCCACAGGCAAAUCCGUGGGGCGCGUGGGCGAGGUGCGAUGAUGGGCGCCGCAGGGCGCGAUAUCCGGUGAUCCCGGCUGCCGAGAAAAGCUUCGGCGUGAGGCGGCGUGCCGCCCGUACCCCAAACCGACACUGGUGGUCAGGUAGAGAAUACCAAAGCGAUCGAGCGAAUCCUGGUCAAGGAACUCGGCAAAUCACUCCCGUUCCUUCGGUUUAAGGGAGACCCCCGAUGGUGAAGCGGCUUGCCCGUGGAGCUUUUGGGGGUGGCACAGACCAGGGGGUAGCGACUGUUUACCAAAAACACAGGAGCGUGCGAAGGCGCAAGCCGCUGUAUACGCUCUGACGCCUGCCCGGUGCCGGAAGGUUAAGAGGAUCCGUCAGGCUUCGGCCGAAGCGGUGAAUUCAAGCCCCGGUAAACGGCGGUGGUAACUAUAACCAUCCUAAGGUAGCGAAAUUCCUUGUCGGGUAAGUUCCGACCUGCACGAAUGGCGUAACGACUUCCCCACUGUCUCGACCAGGAGCUCGGCGAAAUUGCAGUACGAGUAAAGAUGCUCGUUAAGCGCAGAAGGACGAAAAGACCCCGGGACCUUUACUAUACCUUGGUAUUGGCAUUCGGUGUGGAUUGUGUAGCAUAGGCGGAAGGCUUCGAAGCCACGGCGCCAGCCGCGGUGGAGCCGCAAGGUGAAAUACCGCUCUGUUCGCAUUGGAUGUCUAACCUCGACCAGUCAUCCUGGUCAGGGACAGUGCCUGGCGGGUAGUUUAACUGGGGCGGUUGCCUCCCAAAGAGUAACGGAGGCGCUCAAAGGUUCCCUCAGCCCGGUUGGCAAUCGGGUGGCGAGUGUAAGUGCACAAGGGAGCUUGACUGCGAGACUGACGGGUCGAGCAGGGACGAAAGUCGGAACUAGUGAUCCGGUG
rnacentral:rRNA from 1 species